rnacentral:ncRNA from 5 species
CUUGUCUCAAAGAUUAAGCCAUGC